GAUGAACGCUGGCGGCGUGCUUAACACAUGCAAGUCGAACGAAGCACUUUAGUUGAUUUCUUCGGAUUGAUUCUAAAGUGACUUAGUGGCGGACGGGUGAGUAACGCGUGGGUAACCUGCCUUGUACAGGGGGAUAACAGUUAGAAAUGACUGCUAAUACCGCAUAACCCGCUAAGGUCGCAUGACCUGGACGGAAAAGAUUUAUCGGUACAAGAUGGACCCGCGUCUGAUUAGCUAGUUGGUGAGGUAACGGCCCACCAAGGCGACGAUCAAGUAGACCGGCCUGACGAGGGUGACCGGCCACAUUGGGACUGAGACAC
rnacentral:rRNA from 1 species